CCCCCGCACCCCCCCCCAGCCUCUGCUUGAACCAAAACCGAUCCGAGAAAAGACCGGCAGAGAGCAGUGAAGGGCGGUGGGAGACACACCUAGACCCCUCCCGACAAGGGUGACAGGAUUAAGGCAUCUCCAUUAGCCUAGAGAUGACCAGAGAGGCCAAGGCAAGAACCGCUCGGAACUCUGGGACCAGAACAGCAGGGAAGCAGUGCAUGCUGGGGGAUCUCUGCUCCAGAUGUUAAUGAACCUACGACUGCACACCCCCAGCUCAGCAGUUAUCAGACCCAUUAUAGUAAUGAAUCCUUGAUUGACAUCCAAAAUACUGAAGCUGCCUAAUUGCAUUGUGAGCUCCCUGGAAGGAACACUGCCCAUAGCCAGGAAUGAUCAGCUCCUAUCAUCUACUCUAGACUAAAGAAAACCCUUCAGUCAUCAAUUUACCCAUAAACAAGCCAAGUGUUCUCCCUUGAACCAUUGUUGUUUCUCUACAAAACCCCCGACCUACGUUCAAGUCAGUGUUCUGAUGCCUGGAUCCAAACUCUGCAUCAGUUCCUCUGGGACUCCAUCUUCUCCUGACGGAUCGUGCUGGGGGCUCUGCCUGUCUCCAGCACUCCAGACCCUCAGCUACCACCAUCACCUGGGACCCCCGACCAGUUCAACCUGCAUGGAAUGCAUUGAAUAAUCUGAAACAGCCAAAAACCUGUGAGAUGGACGAUGCUGUUUAUUUGACACAAGAAGUUUUAUUCUGGGUGUUGUUUUAGAAAGGGCGCGUCUGAUGUCGUCCUUUACAUCAAGCCGGUUUCGAGAUUUCGUCUUUAUUGUGAGAAGGCUGGAGAAUCCACUCGUGCAUUCGCAGGUAGUGGGAAAUGACAGCAGAACUCCCAGGGUCAUUUCAGACACCAGUGAGUAUUCACUUGCACCUGAGCACCAGGACUGGUUUGGAGGCAGCUGUGUGAAUUUUGCUUUCACUGCAUCAUCAUUGAUCAUGUCAACAAACUGUUUCUGUGCGUGAAUAUGGUCAGUAGGUAACUGCUCAGCUGUCACACUGAAAGGGUUCUUCACCAGGGAAUGAAGUGCUUCUGGUAGCGCUGGGAAGUCGUGUGAGAACUCCUUGUGAAGGGCUCUCAAAUGUUCACUGUUCGCUGACUUGAGAGCACUAUCACUGUUAACUUCCUCCUCCUUGCUGAACGAGGAAAGUGUCGGAAACGUGCUGUAUCUGUCUGUAUCCAGCUUCCUGCCCCAUGGAUCCAACUUCAUCUGGAAGGCUCUGAUUUUAUUCGUCGGGUCUAUUCAUGUUGAACGUUUUCCCUGCAGCGACAGACUGAGAUCAUUAAGGCUAUCGAAAGUAUCAACUAGGUAUGCCAAGCAGAGAAGCCAUUUCUUGUCACUGAACUUUUUGUUCAGCUUGUUUCUCGUUUUGCAGGAAAAAAACUGCCAUCUCUUCCCGAAGUAAAAAAACGCGCUAGAAAGCCAUCAGACUUGAAUGCGGAAAAGCAGAACUUCAUAUUCACCAUUGCAGAGCUCUCGAAAGAGAUAACUAUUCAGAGCAUGAGCUUUAAUAUAGUUCACUGCUCAUAUAACAACAUCCACCACAGCAUUGAGGCAUAUUGGCAAGGUCUUUGCAGCUAGGACUUAAUGACGGAUUCCACAAUAAAUGACAAUCACAUUAGAUGAGACACACGUUACCUUCUGCUGAAAGCCAGACCGUGCACCCAUCAUUGCUGGAGCACUGUCGGUACAGAUACCACAAAGAUUUUUCCAUUCAAUGCCAUUGCUUUCGAAAAAGGCAUUCACCUGAUUGAAAAUGGCCUGUGCUGUUGUGGUUAUUUCAAAUUGUUCACAGAAUAAGAACUCAUCCUUAACAUCCCCGGCAUUACCAUACCAUACGAAUGCUAUCAAUUGUGCACCGUGAGUAACAUCAGUAGUUUCAUGAAGUUGCAGGCUGAACAUACUGAAAGCAGAGUGUUUAAUUUCAUGCACAACUUGUUUUUUGAUGUCUUCAGACAUCUCACAUAUUCUGCGUUUCACGGUAUCAUUAGACAUGGAAAGCAUAUUCCAUUUUUUGGCAGUUUCAUUUCCACCCAUAAUAUCUUUGCAUGCUGGCAGAAUGAGCUCCUCACGUGCUGUACGCAGCGUUUGGUACGGGCAAUUCAUAGUAACACAACAAAAGAGGCCUCCACAGCUGAGGACAUUUGCUGUCGGAAACUUCCAUCAACAUCAAGCCUGGCCUUCUUUGUUGCUUCUUCUCUACAUUUGAAAAAAUCCACGUUUUGAUUUUUAGGCUCAGGAUGUCCAAUUUCCAGAGGUCGCUGCAGUUUGCAUGGUUUCAUUGAUUCGGCAGAGAAGACUUCACAGCAAAUGCCGCAUUGCGGUUUUUCAAUACCAGAGGUGAUGAUACUGGUAAAACCGAGUUUAAUGUAAGACAUGAGAUACUUUCGUUUUUUAGCGGUUUUAGCAGUACAGGUGGCCAUUAUUUUCAGGAGGUUUGCGCUCGUGUGUUUGACUGUUAAUUAAUAAAGUACUUGUUCAGCUGCUAAAGAA